rnacentral:rRNA from 1 species
UUUCAAUAUCAAAUUUUUUUGUCUAUGCCCAUCCCAUCUGAUCUCAGAAGCUAAGCAGGGUUGGGCCUGGUUAGUACUUGGAUGGGAGAUCACUUAGAAAGACCCGGUGUAAAAAAGU